rnacentral:rRNA from 1 species
CGUUAGCGGCGGACGGGUGAGUAACACGUGGGUAACCUACCUAUGAGACUGGGAUAACUUCGGGAAACCGGAGCUAAUACCGGAUAAUAUUUCGAACCGCAUGGUUCGAUAGUGAAAGAUGGUUUUGCUAUCACUUAUAGAUGGACCCGCGCCGUAUUAGCUAGUUGGUAAGGUAACGGCUUACCAAGGCGACGAUACGUAGCCGACCUGAGAGGGUGAUCGGCCACACUGGAACUGAGACACGGUCCAG